AUGCUGGUGGAGGGCCACCGUCGCCGUCCGCCGGGGUGGCUCGCCACCGCUGGGGUGUGGUACUGCGCCGUGCCGGACGCCGCUUGCUUUCCUCCCGCCGACCUCCUUUCCUUCGAGAUCUCUCCAGAGGUCGUUCUCCUGGCCGACCUAGCUUGUGUGCCUGCCGCCGCUUCACACACAAGCGCUGCACCUUUCUCGUCCCGGCUAGCGUCCCGAUUGCCACCUCUUGCCUCUCCAUUCUCCCCUACGUCUGGCUGUCCUCCUCCUCCCCUUGCUUCCCUGACGUUGCCUCCAAUGUUGGUAAGUAAGAUUCACCCUGUGUCGCAGUGGCUUAUAAUUGAUGAAGCUGAUCGCAAACUUGUGCCAAAUUUUGAGGAGGACAUGAAACAAAUAUUUAAGUGCCUCCCUCGGGCUCUCUGCUCGAAAUGUCUGCUGAGCAUCUUCUUCAUUGAGCCAAAAUCAAUUGCUUGGUGCAGUUUCAGAUUGUUCUUACUAUCCAAUACUAAUUUAUAA
rnacentral:rRNA from 1 species